rnacentral:rRNA from 1 species
UACGUAGGUGACAAGCGUUGUCCGGAUUUACUGGGCGUAAAGAGCGCGCAGGCGGUCGAUCAAGUCGAGUGUGAAAGCCCCCGGCUCAACUGGGGAGGGUCAUUCGAUACUGAUCGACUCGAAGGCAGGAGAGGGUAGUGGAAUUCCCGGUGUAGUGGUGAAAUGCGUAGAUAUCGUAAGGAAGGCCGGUGGCGAAAGCGAGCCUCUGGACAGUUACUGACGCUGAUGCACGAAGGCCAGGGGAGCAAACGGG